UGAGGACAAGGAUAGUGUAGAGGAGGCAGCUGAGUUGGGUAUUUAAUUUCUCAUUCAAGUAAAAGGAAUGACCAGGCGGACAGAAGAUAACUUCCACCAGGAUCUGGAUAGAAUGAUAAACUGAGAGAUUGAUGCUAGUAGUGUCAUAGGAUCAUGGGAUUUAAGCUGGAGCAACUCUUCUCAUUGUCAAGGUUCUAAAAAUAAAAGAUUUUUCUUUUUAAGAAGAAGCAGUCUGGGAGCAGCUAGUGGCUCAGUGGAUUGAGAGCCAGGUGUCCUGGGUUCAAAUGUGACUUCAGACACUUCCUCACUGUGUGACUUUCGGUGAAGAAACUGGAGCACACAUGAUUAAGCAACUUGACUGGGGUCAUACAACUAAUGAGGAAACUGAGGAUCAGGGAAGUGAAAUCACUUACCCAAAGGCAAACAGAAGAGCUGGGAUUCCAACCUGGAUUUUAUUACUCAAGAUUCAGUGCUCUUUCUACUGCAUCAUGGUUUCAUCUUUUUUUUCAAAACAUAUAUUUACCUAGAGAGACCUGGAACUGGACCUCAAGACUUUAGUUGCCUUCUGCUUUCUCCUUCCUUCCUUUCCUGAGCACAGAUCAAUGACCAGGGAUGUUGGGAAAUAGACAUUUCCAGCCUUGUAAGUAGUCUCAUAGGUCCAGAGUUUCUGCAGUUUUAUAUUCAAGUAUGAGCUGACUGGAGCAUCUCAGAGAAGAUAACCACUGCCAGGAGAAUUCUACAGUUGAAGGACUAUUAAGAAACAUAUCCUUGAUGGUCAGAAGAUCUACAUCUUGUGACUUGCUUGUGUAGUGGAGAUAUGAGCUGAAUCUGAAUGUAAAAUAUCUGUCUAUCCAGUGCAUGAGAUUAUCUUUAACUUCCUUGGGAAUUGUUGUUUUGUCUUUUCAGUUGGGACUGACUCUUUGUGACCCCAUUUGGGGCUUUCUUGGCA
rnacentral:lncRNA from 1 species